rnacentral:lncRNA from 1 species
UGAUGUCAGGCUGGGAAAGAAAUUGGAGAAAGAACAGAAAAGCCUCAAAGAAAAAAAAAAUGUUGGUCCACCAUGAAUGCCUGAAGUUUUUCCCUUUAAGACUGUGGCUUUAGCGAGUAUAUACAUAUGCUACCUUUUAGCAGAGCAAUCCCACCCAGCUCCCAUUAGAGCCUGCAGCUGCAAAGCAGAGACCAUGACUUGAACUCUGCUGCCAGUGGGUAGCGAUUGCAGGGAUCCAAGCAUGGGGACAGUGUGUUCGCAGUAAGCCACGUUGCUGAGCAGAUGGGGCGCUUUAUUUCGUUCCAGUUGGCACAAAGAAUGCUUGCAGCUUGGGGUAAGGCAGAGACACUUUCAAGCUCAGCAAUGCCUACAAUAAUCCUCAAUUCCAGAGGAGGAAAGUAGGAUUCGCAAUCAAUAACGCCUGAGAUAGGUGUUACGGUAACCAACCUUAAUCUUGUUAAAAUGAACACUGAAAUAAAAAAAAUACGCUGGAUGGAAGUACUGUUGCUGGAGAUAUAGGGAGCUAUAGUAAUUCGGGAAGCUGGUGAACCAUGGUGGUUUGCAGUUCAUUUCCACACACAGUAGAUAAUUACUUCAUUUCCAAGCUUUGGUUAGAAAGCCACUGAGGGAAUCGAUAGCGAGUCUAGUCUCCAGGUGAAGCGCGUUCACUUUUAAAGUGUAUUUUAAGUGUAACCACUGCAAAGUGCUUCAGUGCACAAUAACGUUUUCACUGGGUGUCAAAACUGUGUGACUGAAAAGCAGGAUAGGCAUUGUGAAGGACAAAGAGGAAGUAUCGCUCCUGAGAUGCAAUGGCAGUUGUUUCCCCGCUCUGUCUGAGUCUGACCAGGGAUUUUUGCUGAGCAGUGCGUUCAGUGGCACACUCGUUCCUAUGGCUUGCUGGACCAACGCAUGAUGACUACUUGGCUGGACCAAGAGAUGACAAGGAAACAAAACAACAACAACAAAAACAAACAUACAAACAAAAGCACCAAGAAAUCCACCUGCAAUGUAGAAGUAGGGCACCUGAAUUUAUUACAUUCUUUACUCCUACCACUGUGUUUUUCAUUGCAG